AUGCUUUUACUGGUUCUGGGGGAGGAGCUUGCCCAAAGAGCGUCUUUCGACAGAUGAAGAGGGGGAAUCGGCGUCAGACAGAUUGAUUAACAGGUUAUUAACGUAUGGAUGGUGAGUCCUUUGGUCAAAUGGAUGUUGGAAUUGUGUUGGUGAAUCCCGAAGGUGUCUCUCCCCAACAUCAGAUCUUCACCCAGCAAGCCUGAAAAUAGUCAUUGAGGGUGAAGUUGUUGUGGAAAAGGUGACAACCCUGCCAGAAGCUGUGUCUCCUUUUCAGGCUCACAUAUGGAUUCCACCUAAACUACCCUAAGAAAACCUCCCUUCUGUUCAUUCAACAUGUAUUUUUUGCUUUGGGAAGCACUGAGCUGAAAAAUCAACUACCUGUGUAAAAGAUUUUUCCAGAUGCUCUAUUUUUGUUUAGAUGGAAAAAGGUUUGGUUUUUAGCUCAUGGUUUGUACUGUUGAAGGUCAGCAAAGGCCACAUUUAAAUACAAAAUUAAUAACAAUGGCCUGGAGGCCAGUGAAAUUUACAGGCUGACAAAACUUUAAACUGUUACACAAACAUUCCAGUUCAUUACUACGUUUAACAACUACUGUGUGCUACCGUCCUAGUAUUUUUAUUUUUUGAAGGAUUUCAAGUUUAAACAAUCUGUACAAGGUAGCGAUGCUCAUCGUUAUUGUGCAAUUAAUCAGUUUACCUGUCAAAGCACUAAGCUUGUGUUAUAACCAGAUUAAUGAUGUAAAUAUGAAAUAACUGAGCUAGCAUUUAUCAAGUUGUUAUGCAAGCUUGUUCUUUGCACAAUGUUUUAAAAUUUCCAAAGAUAAUUUUUGUAAACCCAUUUUAAAGGGUUAAAUGCAGAAUUGUUUAGACAAAGCACGUUACCGGCUUUAUAACAAAUGUUUAACAUGGUGUUUAACAUGUUGCUGUAACACAAUUUUUUUUUCAAUAAAGUUUUGGAAAAUAA